CUUGUCUCAAGAUUAAGCCAUGCAAGUGUUAGUACGUGCUUUAAUACAGUGAAACUGCGAAUGGCUCAUUAAAUCAUAUGUGAUUUCUUAGAUCGUGUUCGGUGUCUUCUUACGAAGUGCCUGACUGGAUAACUGUGGAAAAUCUAGAGCUAAUACAUGCAAUCAGGCCCCGACGGCGAGAGCUGGACGGGCGCUCUUAUUAGACCAGGACCAAACCGUGGCGGCAACGUCGCGGUGAAUCUGUGGUGACUCUGGAUAAACCUAGUUGAUCGCAAAGUAGCCGCAAGGCCAGCGACGUAUCUUUCAAGCGUAUGCCCUAUCAUGUAGUCGGUAAGGUAGAAGCCUACCGAGCAGAUAACGGGUAGCGGGGAAUCAGGGUUCGAUUCCGGAGAGGGGGCAUGAGAAAUGGCCACCACAUCCAAGGAAGGCAGCAGGCGCGCAAAUUACCCUUCCCGACACGGGGAGGUAGUGACGAAAAAUAACAAUACGGGACUCUUUCGAGGCCCCGUAAUUGGAAUGAGUUGAUUCUAAAUCCUUUAACGAGGAUCAAUUGGAGGGCAAGUCUGGUGCCAGCAGCCGCGGUAAUUCCAGCUCCAAUAGCGUAUAUUAAAGUUGCUGCAGUUAAAAAGCUCGUAGUUGGAUCUCGGGUGCUCUGUCUGGGCGGUUCCGCUUCCGCGGGUACUGCCCGGACCGCCCAACUAGUCGUCGGGCUUCGGCCCCUUUGCCGGGCUUGUGUCCUUAACCGGGUGCUUGCUUGGGACGACCGGUUUACCUUGAACAAAUUAAAGUGCUCAAGGCAGGUUACUUUUGCUCGGAUAUCUGUGCAUGGAAUAAUGGAAUAGGACUUGUGUGCCAUUCUGUUGGUCUCUGGUACGUGAGUAAUGAUUGAAAGGGACUGCCGGGGGCAUCGGUAUGGCGGGGUUAGAGGUGAAAUUCUUGGAUCCUCGCCAGACCAUCAAUAGCGAAAGCAUUUGCCAAGAAUGUCUUCAUUAAUCAAGAACGAAAGUCAGAGGAUCGAAGACGAUCAGAUACCGUCGUAGUUCUGACCAUAAACGAUGUCAGCUAGCGCCUCGCGGCAGUUGUAUCCCAUGACGCCAGCGAGGCCCCCCCGAGAAAUCGUAAGUUUUCGGAGUCCGGGGGAAGUAUGAUUGCAAAAUUGAAACUUAAAGAAAUUGACGGAAGGGCACCACCAGGUGUGGAGCCUGCGGCUUAAUUUGACUCAACACGGGAAAACUCACCCGGCCCGGACAUUGCAAGGAUUGACAGAUUGAAAGCUUUUUCUCGAUUCAGUGGAUGGUGGUGCAUGGCCGUUCUUAGUUGGUGGUGUGAAUUGUCUGGUUAAUUCCGAUAACGAACGAGACUCUGGCUUAUUAAAUAGUUCGCUCGUCGGCCUCCGUGUCGGCGGGUGUCAACUUCUUAGAAGGACAAGUGGCUCUUAGUCACACGAGAUUGAGCAAUAACAGGUCUGUGAUGCCCUUAGAUGUCCGGGGCUGCACGCGCGCUACACUGACGGGGGCAACGUGUCUCAUCUGCCUGGCCUGAAAGGGUCGGGCAAUCCGGUCAACCCCCGUCGUGCUUGGGAUCGGACAUUGUAACUGUCGUCCGUAAACGAGGAAUAUCUAGUAAGCGCAAGUCAUCAGCUUGUGUUGAUUACGUCCCUGCCCUUUGUACACACCGCCCGUCGCUACUACCGAUUGGAUGGCUUAGUGAGAUGUUCGGACGGGUAGGCGCCUUUUGCGGGGUGCCAGCNUGAAAGAGCCC
rnacentral:rRNA from 1 species